CCCAAACCACUAUAUUAUCUACUGCUCCUGAUAUUCUUGCUCCUCUAGGAGUUGAGAUUGGCAUCUUUAAGCAAUCCUAAAAGGAUUGGGAAGAAGAACAAAGGGAAGUUAUAAGAAAACUGCUGUCCAGAUUUUCUGCUGCAACCUUUUUGUAUUUCCAUGCCUCCACAGCAUCCAAGAAGAAUUUUCACAUCCCUCUUCUCUACUAGUUAGAGG
rnacentral:lncRNA from 1 species